rnacentral:rRNA from 1 species
CCUACGGGAGGCAGCAGUGGGGAAUAUUGGGCAAUGGGCGCAAGCCUGACCCAGCAACGCCGCGUGAAGGAAGAAUGCCCUCGGGUUGUAAACUUCUUUUGUCAGGGACGAAGAAAGUGACGGUACCUCACGAAUAAGCCACGGCUAACUACGUGCCAGCAGCCGCGGUAAUACGGAGGUGGCAAGCGUUAUCCGGAUUUAUUGGGUGUAAAGGGAGUGUAGGUGGGACGGUAAGUCAGAUGUGAAAUUCCAGGGCUCAACCGUGAAAUUGGAAUUGAGACUGAAAGUCUUGAGUACAGGGGAGGCAGGCGGAAUUCGGGGUGUAGCGGUGAAAUGCGUAGAUAUCACGAAGAACACCGAUGGCGAAGGCAGCCUACUAAACAUUGACUGACAUUGAGGCGCGAAAGUGUGGGGAGCAAACAGGAUUAGAUACCCGAGUAGUC